AAAAUUUAAACAUUUCUGGGUCACAUGCAACAAACUUCAACAUUUCCAAGGCAAACACUGGAAAUGAUGAUGUGCAUGACCUAUGGAAUAGUAUUUUGAAAAAUCUCUCAGUGAUGACUGAAAUAAAGCUGUAUUUAAAUCGGGAUAUGCCAACCUUAAGGAAAUGCAUGCUACCAGCUAGAAUCACGGACAUUUCUUUAGUGGACAGGACAGAGCGCACAAAAUACGGUGUCUCAAUGUGUACACACACAUCCAAAUAUGUAUGUGCGGUUGUUAUCAUUUUCCUGAGUGGUGGUCGAGCACGCCAGUAAAUUGGGGUGGAUUAAGCAGGUUACUAAUGGGGUGACAUUUUGACAUAAAAGUUGUUGGCAGCUAAGCAAAUUACAAGGAUACCUGGGAGCACAGCCCGAUACUUUGACACAUAUCAAUUAAAUGGCACACCUGUGGGAAACAACAUCAUCUUCUAGCGAUUGGAAGGGAUCAAAAAUUCGUUGCCGAUUUUAAAAAGGUUAUUAUCUUCUAACUUUGGUGUGACCGCGUUAAAUUAUUUCGAUAUCAUCUAUUCCGUUUCGCCACCACAUAAUUCGGUACUACACUUCCAUGUAACCCGUCAUCAAUUUCAGUUCUCAAGAAAUCAAGUCAAUUAAAUAAAUUGAUAUUAUGAUAUUCGAAUUCAAAAAUAAAAUAUAAAAAACACUACAAAUGUACAUUAGAAAAAAGUAAGUCAAAAUGGAAAAAAAUCAUGCAAAAUAAAACAUUACUAUUGUACAUUUCAAAAGUCAAAAUGAAAAUGUUAAUAUAUCACAUUUUACAUGAUUUUUUUUUGUAUAUUAUCCUUUUCGGAUAGGAGACAAUUCCGAAUUUGUAUGAAUCAUUAAAAUCAGUUCAGCGGUUCUUAAGUUAUAAGCGUAGUAACUAACACAACUUUCAUUUAUAUAUAUAGAUGUAUAGAUAGAUAAAAAAGUAUGCGUGGUCAGUUCCUCAGCCCCCAAACAAAUACUUAAGGUUGGAGGGAAGGUCAACAGUAUCUCGUGCAAUAAUUUUUAAACCAAUAUCUUGUUUAUUUGGGAAAUAUAAGGAUUUUAGAUAAAUCGAAAUAGUGGGCGUAAAAGGAGGCGUGGUCAAUAUUUUUUUCUUUAAAAACCUAACUCGGGGUAUGACAAACGUUUGUACAAAAAAUUAUGCAAAUCGGUCCAGCCGUUUUCAACUGAUUCCGUUACCAACAAACAACAAUUGAUUUUUAUAUGAUAUGAAGCGCCGAGGAUUUUUCCAAUGUUCCCAGCGUAUAAUAUUUUCAACACUUUACUCAUUAUGUUGCUUGCCUUUCACAUUGUUUGGACGUACAUGAUACUUAAGAUUGUAAUAAAUUCUUUACAAAAGGGGUUGGUGAGCAUUUUGAUUUAAGAACACAUUGCAGUCUCAUUGAUAAUUCAUUUCCUUUACAGAUGUCUGGUGAUAUAAGAUCGAGCGACAGCGAAAUCUCUGAAAAAAAUCGCUCAAUAAUGGUGACGUUAAACCUGUAGAUAAAAUCCAAAAGAGAGCUCUAACCAAAACAGAAUAACCAAAUAAGCAUAAUUAUUUCCUCUGUUUGUAUUUCUUUUGUAUGUUAUGUACAAACUAUGUAUGUUGUAGUAUAUUUAAAAAGUUUUUAAUGUCAAGAAUCCAGGUAUAAGUAAAUUGUUUAUUUUAUUGUUGCUUAUAAUUUAAAAAUUGUAGUAAGUUAUCACUAAAGUAUGCGUUUUAGAGAGUUGCUUAAUUGAAUGAAUAUAAAUAUAGCCCAAAAUACGAGGAUUUAGAUUCAUAUUGCCAAAAUACAACUAUAUAUUUAAAAAUAAAAGGUCGUGUGAAAUUAAUUAGGGUUUCUUUAAAAUAUAAGUACAUUUUCUGCAUUUGGCGCUUAUUCCAGUUUGCAUUGUGUCUCCUGAUGGAAAACAAUCUGGAACUUCUUAAUGCGCUGACUCAUCUGGUCUACAAAUUUGUUGACUACUGGUUCCAUUGCGGCCUGAAGCUGUUAAUGUGUCGUUAAACGUAAAAUGGAUAUGUUGCACUUAGCAAUCUUAAUUUGAAUAAAUUCAAUAUGUAUAUUUAAUAUACCAUGUAUCUAUUAAAAUCUUAAAUACCCUCCACCACACGGAAACUACUUGCAAAAUUUACAGCGUUACCUAAAAUUCGACGUUGCGCAUAAAUUUUUUUGUCCACAAAAAUAAUUGUUUUCAAAUUUUAA